rfam:Schistosoma curassoni strain Dakar, Senegal genome assembly, scaffold: SCTD_scaffold0003871
GCACUGUUGAGGAGUCCACAUUAGGACGAAACGGCUGUCCAGUGC